rnacentral:rRNA from 1 species
GGGAAUAUUGGACAAUGGGCGCAAGCCUGAUCCAGCCAUACCGCGUGGGUGAAGAAGGCCUUCGGGUUGUAAAGCCCUUUUGUUGGGAAAGAAAUCCUGCCGGCCAAUACCCGGUAGGGAUGACGGUACCCAAAGAAUAAGCACCGGCUAACUUCGUGCCAGCAGCCGCGGUAAUACGAAGGGUGCAAGCGUUACUCGGAAUUACUGGGCGUAAAGCGUGCGUAGGUGGUUCGUUAAGUCUGAUGUGAAAGCCCUGGGCUCAACCUGGGAAUUGCAUUGGAUACUGGCGGGCUAGAGUGCGGUAGAGGAUGGCGGAAUUCCCGGUGUAGCAGUGAAAUGCGUAGAGAUCGGGAGGAACAUCUGUGGCGAAGGCGGCCAUCUGGACCAGCACUGACACUGAGGCACGAAAGCGUGGGGAGC